rnacentral:rRNA from 1 species
GACGAACGCUGGCGGCGUGCUUAACACAUGCAAGUCGAGCGGUAAGGCCCUUUCGGGGGUACACGAGCGGCGAACGGGUGAGUAACACGUGGGUGACCUGCCCUCAGCUCUGGGAUAAGCCUGGGAAACCGGGUCUAAUACUGGAUAUGACUCCAUGACGCAUGUUGUGGGGUGGAAAGCCUUGUGCGGCUGAGGAUGGGCCCGCGGCCUAUCAGCCUGUUGGUGGGGUGAUGGCCUACCAAGGCGACGACGGGUAGCCGGCCUGAGAGGGCGACCGGCCACACUGGGACUGAGACACGGCCCAGACUCCUACGGGAGGCAGCAGUGGGGAAUCUUGCGCAAUGGGCGAAAGCCUGACGCAGCGACGCCGCGUGAGGGAUGACGGCCUCGGUUGUAA